AAAAAAAAAUCUUUUAUAUGUAAUAGAUUUUAUUCAUUUCGGGUACUUCUAAUAUGAAAACCGACGAUCUUUUGAAUUAUUGCCAGAGGUCAUGUAAUAGUGUCACAUUCAGGUAUUCUAGUGACUUCCUGCGGGCUAAUAAACUGGUGACAUUACGCAAUUCAGGUACAUGCAUCGCUUCCCAGCUGUUUGACCCAGGUGUGCACAGGUAAAAGUGCCAUCGAAAAUGCUGUCAGGUGUAUUAUACAUCCUGUUAACAAUGUAUGUCCCUAACCUGAUUGAAAUACACAAAGCCGUCCAAACAUGAAAUUAAGAGUUUAAAAUUUAUAUCUACAGGCUGAUUAAUUCUGACAUGUGCAAAGACAGAAA
rnacentral:lncRNA from 1 species